GACGAACGCUGGCGGCGUGCUUAACACAUGCAAGUCGAACGAUGAAGCCCUUCGGGGUGGAUUAGUGGCGAACGGGUGAGUAACACGUGGGCAAUCUGCCCUGCACUCUGGGACAAGCCCUGGAAACGGGGUCUAAUACCGGAUAUGACCAUCUUGGGCAUCCUUGAUGGUGUAAAGCUCCGGCGGUGCAGGAUGAGCCCGCGGCCUAUCAGCUUGUUGGUGAGGUAAUGGCUCACCAAGGCGACGACGGGUAGCCGGCCUGAGAGGGCGACCGGCCACACUGGGACUGAGACACGGCCCAGACUCCUACGGGAGGCAGCAGUGGGGAAUAUUGCACAAUGGGCGAAAGCCUGAUGCAGCGACGCCGCGUGAGGGAUGACGGCCUUCGGGUUGUAAACCUCUUUCAGCAGGGAAGAAGCGAAAGUGACGGUACCUGCAGAAGAAGCGCCGGCUAACUACGUGCCAGCAGCCGCGGUAAUACGUAGGGCGCAAGCGUUGUCCGGAAUUAUUGGGCGUAAAGAGCUCGUAGGCGGCUUGUCACGUCGAUUGUGAAAGCUCGGGGCUUAACCCCGAGUCUGCAGUCGAUACGGGCUAGCUAGAGUGUGGUAGGGGAGAUCGGAAUUCCUGGUGUAGCGGUGAAAUGCGCAGAUAUCAGGAGGAACACCGGUGGCGAAGGCGGAUCUCUGGGCCAUUACUGACGCUGAGGAGCGAAAGCGUGGGGAGCGAACAGGAUUAGAUACCCUGGUAGUCCACGCCGUAAACGGUGGGAACUAGGUGUUGGCGACAUUCCACGUCGUCGGUGCCGCAGCUAACGCAUUAAGUUCCCCGCCUGGGGAGUACGGCCGCAAGGCUAAAACUCAAAGGAAUUGACGGGGGGCC
rnacentral:rRNA from 1 species